CUUCAGAGGCAAUUUAUGGGUUUUAUUCUACAAUCAUGUUUACUAAUUGAUCAGAUUGAUUAAGAAGGGUGUUGGAGUAGCUUGGUAAAUUUGUUUUGCUAGGUUAUGAUAAAUUAGCAUUCAGCAGAAUAGAUGUUUGGAUUUCUUCUUCAAAUCACACAGUAAUAUUUCUCUUGUCAUUGGUGAAACAAUCAAUCCACUCUCAUUAUAACUUCCACAACAGAAAAUUUUAUGUUAUUUGCCUACUACCAAUGCAGUUUAACUGAUUUUACAUUGACUGAACAAGGUUGAUUUUAUUUAGGUCUAGUGAAAAUACUGAAGAAGUAUGACAAGAGAACAGGAGCACUUAUCAGGCAGCCCUUCAUCGAAAAGGUGCUGCAGCAGCCAUUCUUUACAACUGAUCUCCUAUACAAACUCGUGAAGGAGUGUGUGGCUAUGCUCGACCACUUCUUCCCCAGCAACAACCUGUCAAUUUCAGCAG